rnacentral:lncRNA from 1 species
GGCGGGGAGUCAAGUCCCCAGCUAUGUUAGCGCAGCAAUCCAGCGAUCCUCAGCACUCACUACCGCUGCUGAGGUUCCCAAGAGUUACCAUCCUAGAGAGUUCGUGGGCUUGCCUGNUGAUCAAGCUGAUUUGCAGACCAAGAACUACCCUCGCCCUUUCCGGCCUGCAGAGACACAGACUCAUGAGGCCCCAGGGAAACCAACUUUCUCCACACCUCAUCCGUCACCCCAGAUGUUUCCCACCUUUGCGGAGUCCUGGUCACCAGCCAUGUUUAAAACUCCCAGGAGGGAUCUNAAAGACAAGGGAGUCCAGAAAUUCUCGGACCUUCCUGAAGACUUCACCUUAUGGAAGGUAACCUUUCAGAGAGCUAUUAGAGACUUGAAGCUGCAAGCAGAUGAGGAGCUCACCUUACUCAUGGCAUGGUUGGGCCCUAACUCAUCCCUUCAGGUCCAGAGAGUUUACGCUGCCUAUGUGUCAGACCCUGUUAAGGCAUUACAGACAGCGUGGAACAGAUUAGACGAGAGAUAUGGUGCGUCUACAGAAAUAGAGGCAUCUUUACUGAAUCGGCUUUACAAGUUCCCUAUCCUCAAGUCAAAGGACUUCCGUCAGUUAUGGGACUUGAGUGAUCUUCUAGUUGAACUUGAGUCUGCAAAAUGCAACCCAGAGCUACCUGGUCUAGCCUGCCUAGAUCAGUAUAUUACACAGAGACAGGUGCUCCAAAAGCUACUCUUCCAGCUCCAGGAGAUUUGGGGAAGAGAGGUGUUUGCUUAUAAGGAGCUCCACAUGCAACGUUACCCACCUUUCAGUUACAUUGUGACCUUCAUAGCAAGAGUUGCAAAGGAAAGGAACGAUCCACAGACUGGGUUUCCAACCCUUUACCAGAGUGUGUGUCCAGAGAAGACCAUACAGGAGGGUAAAAAACCUCUCAAAGAGAUGCAAAGGGCUACAGUGGUAGUUAAAUCUACUGAGAUCACUCAGCCUAAGUUGGACAAGAAUCAAG